rnacentral:rRNA from 2 species
UUCGACCUGAACUCAGACGUGAUU